GAUGAACGCUGGCGGCGUGCCUAAUACAUGCAAGUCGAGCGAACAGAUGAGGAGCUUGCUCCUCUGACGUUAGCGGCGGACGGGUGAGUAACACGUGGAUAACCUACCUAUAAGACUGGGAUAACUUCGGGAAACCGGAGCUAAUACCGGAUAAUAUAUUGAACCGCAUGGUUCAAUAGUGAAAGACGGUUUUGCUGUCACUUACAGAUGGAUCCGCGCCGCAUUAGCUAGUUGGUAAGGUAACGGCUUACCAAGGCGACGAUGCGUAGCCGACCUGAGAGGGUGAUCGGCCACACUGGAACUGAGACACGGUCCAGACUCCUACGGGAGGCAGCAGUAGGGAAUCUUCCGCAAAGGGCGAAAGCCUGACGGAGCAACGCCGCGUGAGUGAUGAAGGUCUUCGGAUCGUAAAACUCUGUUAUUAGGGAAGAACAAAUGUGUAAGUAACUAUGCACGUCUUGACGGUACCUAAUCAGAAAGCCACGGCUAACUACGUG
rnacentral:rRNA from 1 species